GAAAUGCGAUAAGUAAUGUGAAUUGCAGAAUUCAGUGCAUCAUCGAAUCUUUGAACGCACAUUGCGCCCGCCAGUAUUCUGGCGGGCAUGCCUGUUCGAGCGUCAUUUCAACCAUCAAGCCCCCGGCUUGUGUUGGGGACCUGCGGCUGCCCGCAGGCCCUGAAAAACAGUGGCGGGCUCGCUGUCACACCGAGCGUAGUAGCAUACAUUCUCGCUCAGGGCGUGCUGCGGGUUCCGGCCGUUAAACGACCUUCAUAACCCAAGGUUGACCUCGGAUCAGGUAGGAAGACCCGCUGAACUUAAGC
rnacentral:misc_RNA from 1 species